GCGAAAGCAAUCUGAUUUUGAAUUCUGUCACCUCACCGAUCCACAGGAUUGAUUCACUGGCAUAGGUGGGUGUCCCAGUCCCUUCUACUACCAUGGCUACAUGUGUGUCCUUCUGGAAGCCACGAUCCUUCAAGGAAGACUUUCCCAUAGAGGACAAGAUUGGUCAAGGUUAUGCUCCUAGCUUCACUCUCUGACUAGAACUUCCAAACCAGCUUUCUAAAAGAAAGGCACCAUUUUCUUUCUCCAGCAAAGAGAAGGAACUGUUUGAGCUCUUCAACAGAUUUUCGUAUUCU
rnacentral:sRNA from 1 species